CUAUGGCCAUACCACCCUGAACAUGCUUGAUCUCAUCUGAUCUUGGAAGCUAAGCAGGGUCAGGCCUGGUUAUUACUUGGAUGGGAGAAGUGGAGCAACUGGGACACUAACUAGC
rnacentral:rRNA from 1 species